GUGAACGCUGGCGGUAGGCCUAACACAUGCAAGUCGAACGGCAGCACAGUAAGAGCUUGCUCUUACGGGUGGCGAGUGGCGGACGGGUGAGGAAUACAUCGGAAUCUACUUUUUCGUGGGGGAUAACGUAGGGAAACUUACGCUAAUACCGCAUACGACCUACGGGUGAAAGCAGGGGAUCUUCGGACCUUGCGCGAUUGAAUGAGCCGAUGUCGGAUUAGCUAGUUGGCGGGGUAAAGGCCCACCAAGGCGACGAUCCGUAGCUGGUCUGAGAGGAUGAUCAGCCACACUGGAACUGAGACACGGUCCAGACUCCUACGGGAGGCAGCAGUGGGGAAUAUUGGCCAAUGGGCGCAAGCCUGAUCCAGCCAUACCGCGUGGGUGAAGAAGGCCUUCGGGUUGUAAAGCCCUUUUGUUGGGAAAGAAAAGCAGCAGGUUAAUACCCCGCUGUUCUGACGGUACCCAAAGAAUAAGCACCGGCUAACUUCGUG
rnacentral:rRNA from 1 species